rnacentral:lncRNA from 1 species
UUUCCAGUCUUUGGAGGCAAGGUAGGGAGUUUGGAAGCUGUCCAAUCAACUUGGGGCAAUUCCUGACGGUAAGAUCAAGCAACUUAGGGAAACACACAGUAGAACUUUCAGUCACCCCUGCAAAACAAGACCACUCCACCCACUCCGACAUGUCCUCUAUUCUUAGAGUCUCCAAUGCUGGAAAUGGACAGGUCAAAUUUGCAUUAUUACCACUACUUUCUCCAUAAAAUUCUGCUCCAACUUCUUUCACUCCAUGCAGGCCACCAAUUGCUAGCGUCAUAAGCAAAGGAAGCUGUCCAAGUGGCGGAAGUGACUCG